rfam:TPA: Bos taurus chromosome 5, whole genome shotgun sequence.
GUCCCAGUGGCCUAAUGGACAAGGCACUGGCCUCCUAAGUCAGGGAUUGUGGGUUCAAGUCCCACCUGGGGUG